rnacentral:rRNA from 1 species
CCCUAUGGGGUGCAGCGGAAGAAGACCUUAAAAAGGGCUAUUACUAUAAGGGCAAAGGCCAGUAUAAACUUGCAGUUCAGUUUUUCGACGAGUACGUUUUGUUUACUUCGGAUGAUGAAAAGAGAAAGACAAUUGAGCUUGAAAUCAUAUCUUGUAUGCUUAUAGCCGGGAAAUACGAUUCUGCGGAAUACAGGAUUUUGAGGCUGGCAUCAAAUGAAUAUACUUUUACCGAACAGCAAAAGAACAAAUUAAAUAAAAUCUUAGAGAUAAUCGGAAGCCCGCGCAGGUUAAAGUAAUUUACUAUCUUUAAGUUUAAAGAGUUCAUAUUAAAAACAAGAUUAUCAAAAAUAUUAGAAUUGGCGGGAGGGC